rnacentral:rRNA from 1 species
UACAGAGGUCCCAAGCGUUGUUCGGAUUCACUGGGCGUAAAGGGUGCGUAGGUGGUGAGGUAAGUCGGAUGUGAAAUCUCCAAGCUCAACUUGGAAACUGCAUUGGAAACUACCUUGCUAGAGGAUUUGAGGGGGGAUUGGAAUACUUGGUGUAGCAGUGAAAUGCGUAGAUAUCAAGUGGAACACCGUGGCGAAGGCGA